rnacentral:pre_miRNA from 1 species
GUUCUACUCCCUCCGUUCGGAAUUACUUGUCGCAGAAAUGGAUGUAUCUAGACAUAUUUUAGUUCUAGAUACAUUCAUUUUUGAGACAAGUAAUUCCGAACGGAGGGAGUAUGUC